GCGGNUGUGGUGGAANUGGUAGACACGUCAGACUUAGGAUCUGAUGCCGCGAGGUGUGCAGGUUCGAUUCCUGUCAUCCGCACAA
rnacentral:tRNA from 1 species